rnacentral:rRNA from 1 species
AACGUAGGUGGCAAGCGUUAUCCGGAUUUACUGGGCGUAAAGGGUGUGCAGGCGGGCGGUCAAGUGGUGUAUGAAAUAUCCUGCUCAACCAGGAGAGGUUAUGCCAGACUGACCGUCUUGAGUGCGAGAGAGGGCGUGGAAUUCCGGGUGUAGUGGUGAAAUGCGUAGAGAUCCGGAGGAACCCCAGAGGCGAAGGCGGCGCCCUGGCUCGCAACUGACGCUCAUACACGACAGCAUGGGGAGCGAACGGG